GAACUUGUGCUGUGGCAAUACCGUAAUCAAUGAAGUUCUUCUGGGAUGCGAUUAUUGCUAGUCGAAAACUAUAACCAUGACGUGCCGAACUUAAUAUGUAAAUGUAAUUGUAAUUG
rnacentral:snRNA from 13 species